rnacentral:rRNA from 1 species
CCGAAAAUGUACCGGGGCUAAACAUAUUACCGAAGCUGUGGAUUGUCCUUUGGACAAUGGUAGGAGAGCGUUCUAAGGGCGUUGAAGCAUGAUCGUAAGGACAUGUGGAGCGCUUAGAAGUGAGAAUGCCGGUGUGAGUAGCGAAAGACGGGUGAGAAUCCCGUCCACCGAUUGACUAAGGUUUCCAGAGGAAGGCUCGUCCGCUCUGGGUUAGUCGGGUCCUAAGCUGAGGCCGACAGGCGUAGGCGAUGGAUAACAGGUUGAUAUUCCUGUACCACCUAUAAUCGUUUUAAUCGAUGGGGGGACGCAGUAGGAUAGGCGAAGCGUGCGAUUGGAUUGCACGUCUAAGCAGUAAGGCUGAGUAUUAGGCAAAUCCGGUACUCGUUAAGGCUGAGCUGUGAUGGGGAGAAGACAUUGUGUCUUCGAGUCGUUGAUUUCACACUGCCGAGAAAAGCCUCUAGAUAGAAAAUAGGUGCCCGUACCGCAAACCGACACAGGUAGUCAAGAUGAGAAUUCUAAGGUGAGCGAGCGAACUCUCGUUAAGGAACUCGGCAAAAUGACCCCGUAACUUCGGGAGAAGGGGUGCUCUUUAGGGUUAACGCCCAGAAGAGCCGCAGUGAAUAGGCCCAAGCGACUGUUUAUCAAAAACACAGGUCUCUGCUAAACCGUAAGGUGAUGUAUAGGGGCUGACGCCUGCCCGGUGCUGGAAGGUUAAGAGGAGUGGUUAGCUUCUGCGAAGCUACGAAUCGAAGCCCCAGUAAACGGCGGCCGUAACUAUAACGGUCCUAAGGUAGCGAAAUUCCUUGUCGGGUAAGUUCCGACCCGCACGAAAGGCGUAACGAUUUGGGCACUGUCUCAACGAGAGACUCGGUGAAAUCAUAGUACCUGUGAAGAUGCAGGUUACCCGCGACAGGACGGAAAGACCCCGUGGAGCUUUACUGUAGCCUGAUAUUGAAAUUCGGCACAGCUUGUACAGGAUAGGUAGGAGCCUUUGAAACGUGAGCGCUAGCUUACGUGGAGGCGCUGGUGGGAUACUACCCUAGCUGUGUUGGCUUUCUAACCCGCACCACUUAUCGUGGUGGGAGACAGUGUCAGGCGGGCAGUUUGACUGGGGCGGUCGCCUCCUAAAAGGUAACGGAGGCGCUCAAAGGUUCCCUCAGAAUGGUUGGAAAUCAUUCAUAGAGUGUAAAGGCAUAAGGGAGCUUGACUGCGAGACCUACAAGUCGAGCAGGGUCGAAAGACGGACUUAGUGAUCCGGUGGUUCCGCAUGGAAGGGCCAUCGCUCAACGGAUAAAAGCUACCCCGGGGAUAACAGGCUUAUCUCCCCCAAGAGUUCACAUCGACGGGGAGGUUUGGCACCUCGAUGUCGGCUCAUCGCAUCCUGGGGCUGUAGUCGGUCCCAAGGGUUGGGCUGUUCGCCCAUUAAAGCGGUACGCGAGCUGGGUUCAGAACGUCGUGAGACAGUUCGGUCCCUAUCCGUCGUGGGCGUAGGAAAUUUGAGAGGAGCUGUCCUUAGUACGAGAGGACCGGGAUGGACAUACCUCUGGUGUACCAGUUGUCGUGCCAACGGCAUAGCUGGGUAGCUAUGUGUGGACGGGAUAAGUGCUGAAAGCAUCUAAGCAUGAAGCCCCCCUCAAGAUGAGAUUUCCCAACUUCGGUUAUAAGAUCCCUCAAAGAUGAUGAGGUUAAUAGGUUCGAGGUGGAAGCAUGGUGACAUGUGGAGCUGACGAAUACUAAUCGAUCGAAGACUUAAUCAA